rnacentral:tRNA from 1 species
GAGGGCACAACUCAGUGGUAGGGCUCGUGCGUAGCAUGCAUGAGGUCCUGGGUUCAAUCCCCAGUGCCUCCA